rnacentral:rRNA from 10 species
GGCUUAGUGGUAAAGGAGGUUCGCGUACUAAUACAGGUGGAAGGUUUGACUAGAGGCAACAAUCCUUAAACGAGUGCGUAGUAGCCCACCUCUAUAUCCAAAUUUUGUGUGUAAUCGAGCGCCAAAAAUUAUCGGGACUAAGUCUUCCGCCGAAAUAGCGAGAUGGUAU